rnacentral:rRNA from 1 species
GGUUUGACUAAGCCAUGCGAGUCGAGAGGUGUUAAGACCUCGGCGUACUGCUCAGUAACACGUGGAUAAUCUGCCCUCAGGAGAGGAAUAAUCCCGGGAAACUGGGGCUAAUGCCUCAUAGGAGACGGGUGCUGGAAUGCUCUGUCUCCCAAAGGUCCGCCGCCUGAGGAUGAGUCUGCGGCCGAUUAGGUUGUUGUUGGGGUAACGGCCCAACAAGCCCGUGAUCGGUACGGGUUGUGGGAGCAAGAGCCCGGAGAUGGACUCUGAGACAUGAAUCCAGGCCCUACGGGGCGCAGCAGGCGCGAAAACUUUACAAUGCGAGCAAUCGUGAUAAGGAAACCCUGAGUGCCUGUCAAUGCAGGCUGUUCUGGUGUUUAGCACGCACCAGGAGAAAGGGCGGGGCAAGACCGGUGCCAGCCGCCGCGGUAAUACCGGCUGCUCGAGUGAUAGCCGCUUUUACUGGGCUUAAAGCGUUCGUAGCUUGGUCGUUAAGUCUCUGGGGAAAUCUUCUGGCUUAACCAGAAGGCGUCUCAGUGAAACUAGCGACCUAGGAACCGGGAGAGGUGAGACGUACUUCGGGGGUAGGAGUGAAAUCUUGUAAUCCUCGAGGGACGACCGAUGGCGAAGGCAUCUCACCAGAACGGCUUCGACAGUGAGGGACGAAAGCUGGGGGAGCAAACCGGAUUAGAUACCCGGGUAGUCCCAGCCGUAAACGAUGUGCGUUAGGUGUGUCGGUGACCACGAGUCGCCGAGGUGCCGAAGGGAAACCGUGAAACGCACCGCCUGGGAAGUACGGUCGCAAGGCUGAAAC